GGUUUGGUGAAGGUAGGAGGUGAGGCAGCUAGCUUGUUGUCAUCUAUCUAUACAACAACAAAAAAAAAGGGUUAAAAACUGAAGUUAGCUUUGUCCGAAUGUUAUGUUAAGAAAUCACUAAUAUAAUCACUUUUAGUAACUAGUCUAAAUUAAAGGAUUUAUUUGAAUAACAACAGGUUUCUUGCAGUUUGAUAAUGCAAAAAAAUAUAUAAUAUAAAUAACUUUGGUAGUGGCAUAUAUCGAUCGUACUAAUUUAGAAACAUAUUAUAUAAUUUAUUUUAUAUUUACGUGUCACUAUUAUUGAAAGUAGCGUUAGUUUUAACUAUUUUAUUAAAAGUAUUAUAGUCAAACUAAAUCAUGUAUAUUUAAACAAAAAUCUACUGAAUAUCUUAAUGGAUGAUUAAAUAAAAAUCUAAAUAAUAUUCUUUUACUAUAUAUAGAUAUUGUAAUUAAUUUUGAUUUCAAUAAAAACAUCAAAUCUUAGUUAAUUUAAUUUAUUAUAUCAAUUUUAUUAUUUUAAGUUUAUACUUAAAAAUGUUAACUACAGUUUAAAUUAGAUUUACACAAACUUGUCAUAUAUUAUUUGUAAAUUAAUUUAAUCUAAUAAAAAUACUAUGACUUUAUUUGUGAUAAAAUUCAUCAAAGGUCAUAGUUUUCAAUGCUUUAUUAAAUGGGUUUAGAGCAAUAUAAAACGUUAAACCGGUACUAGUUAUAAAAAGCCUUGUAAAGCACACAAGAACAAAAAGUCAUAGGAUACAGGAAGACUUUCAAUCGCGAGAAAAGGAAAGAAAAAGCGUGAAACAGUGGCUGAUGGUGAACAGGCUCAAGCAUUUGGCGCAUUCACAUCCAUGAAAAUCUUUCAAUGUCAAUGUCAAUGUCAAUUUAGCAACAACCCACCGUUUUGACUUCAAAUAUAAAUAUUCGCCUAUCUCAUACACUCUUCAAUUUUUUAUUUUUUUUCAAUACACUCUUCAAUUAAUUUAUUUUAAUAUAUUUGUGGCUACGAUAAGGAAAAAUGUAGAAAGAGACGCACCUACCAAGAAAGACAGACAGCGACAUGGAGAAAUGGUGUUACCUGCCUCUCACCAAAUCCACCAUUACCCCCCAAAUCUGUGACCGUCUCGUUUGCAAACCACGUACCUUAAAACGGGCUUUCUUAUUUGGAAGUUGGAUCCACCGACACAUCGCAGCCUGGGCACAUUAGCCAUGGCUAGAAUUGUUUCUUUAUAACUUUAGAUAGUUAUGACGUAUGAUAGGUGUUUAUAAUUUAUAUAUAAACCUAGCUCAAAAAAAAAAAACUUGCGUCCACUAUGUAUAUAAGUUAAUGAAAAUGUAAUAUCAAUCAUUGCUUUGGAAAAUCAUAUACCAAACAAAUGUUGAGGAUAGAAGAGAUGACAAAAAGAAAAGAGUACAGAUGCUGAAUAAUAAAA